AACAGCUUAAAAACUACAUUUACCCAGUCCCUUAGUUGGGUGAAUUUAUUGACAACACAUGCCUCCAGGAGAAUCCAGCCUUGCUACGGUGGCCCUGAAGUGCAAAAUGCAAAAAGUUGUUAAGGAUCCCGGCGGGUUUGGAGCGGGGCCGAGGCAUAGUGCAGGUUGGAACAGAAAUGGACGACCCACUGGCGGCUCACAGGACAAAUGGGGACUUAUUAAACAAAACAGAAAACACUAAG